rnacentral:rRNA from 1 species
GACGAACGCUGGCGGCGUGCUUAACACAUGCAAGUCGAACGGAAAGGCCCUGCUUUUGUGGGGUGCUCGAGUGGCGAACGGGUGAGUAACACGUGAGUAACCUGCCCUUGACUUUGGGAUAACUUCAGGAAACUGGGGCUAAUACCGGAUAGGAGCUCCUGCUGCAUGGUGGGGGUUGGAAAGUUUCGGCGGUUGGGGAUGGACUCGCGGCGUAUCAGCUUGUUGGUGGGGUAGUGGCUUACCAAGGCUUUGACGGGUAGCCGGCCUGAGAGGGUGACCGGACACAUUGGGACUGAGAUACGGCCCAGACUCCUACGGGAGGCAGCAGUGGGGAAUAUUGCACAAUGGGCGGAAGCCUGAUGCAGCAACGCCGCGUGCGGGAUGACGGCCUUCGGGUUGUAAACCGCUUUCGCCUGUGACGAAGCGUGAGUGACGGUAAUGGGUAAAGAAGCACCGGCUAACUACGUG